rnacentral:rRNA from 2 species
UACGGAGGGUGCAAGCGUUGUCCGGAUUUAUUGGGUUUAAAGGGUGCGUAGGCGGCCCUAUAAGUCAGUGGUGAAAUACUGCAGCUCAACUGUAGGAUUGCCAUUGAUACUGUAGGGCUUGAGUACAGAUGAGGUAGGCGGAAUUUAUGGUGUAGCGGUGAAAUGCAUAGAUACCAUAAAGAACACCUAUUGCGAAGGCAGCUUACUAAGCUGUAACUGACGCUGAGGCACGAAAGCGUGGGUAGCGAACAGG